rnacentral:ncRNA from 2 species
AUGAGUAUGGGAGGAGAGACUGCACCCUGUAAGGAGCGCAGCGCCGAAGGAGCAAGUGAAAGGGUACUUUUUCGAAUCUCUCAGGCAAAAAGACUUCCAUAGGACG